CAGCCGCCGCGGGAAUACGUAGGGUGCGAGCGUUAAUCGGAAUUACUGGGCGUAAAGCGUGCGCAGGCGGUCCGCUAAGACAGAUGUGAAAUCCCCGGGCUCAACCUGGGAACUGCAUUUGAGACUGUAUGGCUAGAGUGUGUCAGAGGGGGGUAGAAUUCCACGUGUAGCAGUGAAAUGCGUAGAUAUGUGGAGGAAUACCGAUGGCGAAGGCAGCCCCCUGGGAUAACACUGACGCUCAUGCACGAAAGCGUGGGGAGCAAACAGGAUUAGAUACCCCCGUAGUCCCUGUCUCUUAUAC
rnacentral:rRNA from 1 species